rnacentral:rRNA from 1 species
GCUGCGUGGUAUUGUCGUGGCGUUUGGCGAUGCAUUUACGUACGGAGUGCGCCGAGUUGUGCGACGAUGUCAAUCGAGGCCGUUCGAGAGGACGUGGGUUUCGGCCCGUGAAACCUAGUGCGGUGGAGGUUGGUUGUUGUUGCGCAGCUUCGUGGAGGUGCGGGUUUUUCGCGCGACGGUUAGUCGAUCCGGCCGGUUUGUGUUGUACGCAUGCGUGCCGCACUUAUGGGUUGUGUCGGUUGGUCGGCGUGCACUGCGCUCUUCUCGGUGUAUAGUCAAUGACCCAUUUGACCCGUCUUGAAACACGGACCAAGGAGUUUAUGGUAUACGCGAGUCAUUGGGCUUUCGAAACCCAAAGGCGUAAUGAAAGUGAGACCUUACUGGUUUGAAUGUGAGCGGUUGUUGUUUCGACGACGGCCGCGCAACAUUGCCCCGUUUCGUGGACUUGUCCUGUUGCGGAGGUUGAGCGUAUGCUAUGAGACCCGAAAGAUGGUGAACUAUGCCUGAACAGGAUGAAGCCAGAGGAAACUCUGGUGGAGGUCCGAAGCGGUUCUGACGUGCAAAUCGAUCGUCUGAUUUUGGUAUAGGGGCGCAAGACUAAUCGAACCAUCUAGUAGCUGG